rnacentral:misc_RNA from 1 species
UCAUGGUUCACCUGAUCCAAUCAACGCAUACAUUAAGUCUUUGCUUUCUAUAAUCAGCUCGAUCAAUAGAACUUCAAUAACAAAUGCUGCAUAAAUUAUUAUAACAAAACAAAGAGAGGAAAAAAAAAUAUAUCAAAAGAAUCCAAGUCCCAUGGCCAGUCCAAAUGGGUAAUGGCAGCAACACUGCUUCUAAAGGUGAUGGAAUAUGAAACCUCCCAUUGAUGAAGGAGCUUCUAAGGGAAGGACCAUCAAUAAGCAUUUAUAUGUGGCAUUUACUUCGUGAUUUACAAACAUCUAAUUCGCACCAAGAAAGUAAGCAUAAGUAGUUUUCCCUCAAUCAAGUUAGAGAAUCAAAUGAAUGAAUGUAUGGAUGCUUGCAUAGGUGGGUGGGUGCGGGCGUGAGAGAGAGAGAGAGAGA